rnacentral:rRNA from 1 species
GGGUUACCCGCUGAACUUAAGCAUAUCAAUAAGCGG